UACAGAGGUCCCAAGCGUUGUUCGGAUUCACUGGGCGUAAAGGGUGCGUAGGUGGUGAGGUAAGUCGGAUGUGAAAUCUCCGAGCUCAACUCGGAAAUUGCAUUGGAAACUACCUUGCUUGAGGGUUGGAGGGGGGACUGGAAUGCUUGGUGUAGCAGUGAAAUGCGUAGAUAUCGUAAGGAAGACCAGUGGCGAAGGCGGGUCUCUGGACAGUUCCUGACGCUGAGGCACGAAGGUCAGGGGAGCAAACGGG
rnacentral:rRNA from 1 species